rnacentral:rRNA from 2 species
UACUACAUGCAAGUCGAACGAACUCUGGUAUUGACUGGUGCUUGCAUCAUGAUUUACAUUUGAGUGAGUGGCGAACUGGUGAGUAACACGUGGGAAACCUGCCCAGAAGCGGGGGAUAACACCUGGAAACAGAUGCUAAUACCGCAUAACAACUUGGACCGCAUGGUCCGAGUUUGAAAGAUGGCUUCGGCUAUCACUUUUGGAUGGUCCCGCGGCGUAUUAGCUAGAUGGUGGGGUAACGGCUCACCAUGGCAAUGAUACGUAGCCGACCUGAGAGGGUAAUCGGCCACAUUGGGACUGAGACACGGCCCAAACUCCUACGGGAGGCAGCAGUAGGGAAUCUUCCACAAUGGACGAAAGUCUGAUGGAGCAACGCCGCGUGAGUGAAGAAGGGUUUCGGCUCGUAAAACUCUGUUGUUAAAGAAGAACAUAUCUGAGAGUAACUGUUCAGGUAUUGACGGUAUUUAACCAGAAAGCCACGGCUAACUACGUGCCAGCAGCCGCGGUAAUACGUAGGUGGCAAGCGUUGUCCGGAUUUAUUGGGCGUAAAGCGAGCGCAGGCGGUUUUUUUAAGUCUGAUGUGAAAGCCUUCGGCUCAACCGAAGAAGUGCAUCGGAAACUGGGAAACUUGAGUGCAGAAGAGGACAGUGGAACUCCAUGUGUAGCGGGUGAAAUGCGUAGAUAUAUGGAAGAACACCAGUGGCGAAGGCGGCUGUCUGGUCUGUAACUGACGCUGAAGGCUCGCAAAGUUAUGGGUAUCAAACA